AUUGAACGCUGGCGGCAGGCUUAACACAUGCAAGUCGAGCGGAGAUGAGGUGCUUGCACCUUAUCUUAGCGGCGGACGGGUGAGUAAUGCUUAGGAAUCUGCCUAGUAGUGGGGGACAACAUUCCGAAAGGAAUGCUAAUACCGCAUACGCCCUACGGGGGAAAGCAGGGGAUCUUCGGACCUUGCGCUAAUAGAUGAGCCUAAGUCGGAUUAGCUAGUUGGUGGGGUAAAGGCCUACCAAGGCGACGAUCUGUAGCGGGUCUGAGAGGAUGAUCCGCCGCACUGGGACUGAGACACGGCCCAGACUCCUACGGGAGGCAGCAGUGGGGAAUAAUGGACAAUGGGCGGAAGCCUGAUCCAGCCAUGCCGCGUGUGUGAAGAAGGCCUUUUGGUUGUAAAGCACUUUAAGCGAGGAGGUGGCUACCUGGAUUAAUACUCUAGGAUAGUGGACGUUACUCGCAGAAUAAGCACCGGCUAACUCUGUGCCAGCAGCCGCAGUAAGAC
rnacentral:rRNA from 1 species